rnacentral:rRNA from 1 species
GCUUGGGAAUAUGCCUUGAGGUGGGGACAACAGUUGGAAACGACUGCUAAUACCGCAUAAUGUCUACGGACCAAAGGAGGGGAUCUUCGGACCUUUCGCCUUUAGAUUAGCCCAAGUGAGAUUAGCUAGAUGGUGGGUAAUGGCCUACCAUGGCGACGAUCUCUAGCUGGUUUGAGAGGAUGAUCAGCCACACUGGGACUGAGACACGGCCCAGACUCCUACGGGAGGCAGCAGUGGGGAAUAUUGGACAAUGGGCGAAAGCCUGAUCCAGCAAUACCGCGUGUGUGAAGAAGGGUUUCG